AGACUGUCUUCUAAGGCAAACUAUCACCAAUGGAAGAAAAACUUGUUUUUCCAUCAUUUUGGGUUGGCUGGAUUAACUGGCUGUCAUUCAGAGGGAACUUGGCAGAUCUAUUUUGCUUUUGUUGAACCUCUCUACAGCACAUCAUAAAGAUUUCCUAGGUCCAGAAGCUACAGAAAAGACAACUAAGCAGCAGAAAAAUGUGACUCUGAGAAGAGACUUCAAGCCUUUUGAUGAUGAAUUUUCUACUGAUCAGUUCUAAUUUAAAUAUAUAACUGAAGCAUGCAUAAAAGUUAA